CACCGAUCAAGCCUGGCUUGGUGUUGGGUGCCGUCCCGCCUUCCGCGCGUGGACGCUCCCUAAAAUCAUCGGCGGUGCAGCACCGGCUUCGAGCGCAGCAGAUGUUCGCUUGGGGGCCCGGUGGGGCAGCGGCCGCGACGACAACCUCUA
rnacentral:misc_RNA from 1 species